rnacentral:rRNA from 1 species
GACGAACGCUGGCGGCGUGCUUAACACAUGCCAGUCGAACGGAAAGGCCCUGCUUUUGUGGGGUGCUCGAGUGGCGAACGGGUGAGUAACACGUGAGUAACCUGCCCUUGACUUUGGGAUAACUUCAGGAAACUGGGGCUAAUACCGGAUAGGAGCUCCUGCUGCAUGGUGGGGGUUGGAAAGUUUCGGCGGUUGGGGAUGGACUCGCGGCUUAUCAGCUUGUUGGUGGGGUAGUGGCUUACCAAGGCUUUGACGGGUAGCCGGCCUGAGAGGGUGACCGGCCACAUUGGGAUGGGGAUACGGCCCAGACUCCUACGGGAGGCAGCAGUGGGGAAUAUUGCACAAGGGGCGGAAGCCGGAUGCAGCAACGCCGCGUGCGGGAUGACGGCCUUCGGGUGGUAAACCGCUUUCGCCUGUAACGAAGCGUGAGUGACGGUAAUGGGGAAAGAAGCACCGGCUAACUACGU